rnacentral:ncRNA from 1 species
UACGCCCUUUGGAACUAUGAACUAUGGAACUACACCCUCUGGAACUAUGACUUGUGGAACUACGCCCUUUGGAACUAUUACCUGUGGAACUACUCCCUCUGGAACUACGCCCUCUGGAACUAUUACAUGUGGAACUACUCCCUCUAGAACUACAUCCUCUGGAACUACACCUCUGGAACUAUGACCUCUGGAACUAUGACCUCUGAAACUACGCCCUCUGGAACUACGCCCUUUAGAGCUACGCCCUUUGGAACUAUGACCUCUGGAACUACGCCCUCUAGAACUAUGCCCUUUGGAACUACACCCUCUGGAACUACGCCCUCUGGAGCUACGCCUCUGGAACUAUGACCUGUGGAACUACACCCUCUGGAACUAUGACCUCUGGAACUAUGACCUCUGGAACUAUGACCUCUGGAACUACGCCCUUUGGAACUAUGACCUGUGGAACUACGCCCUCUGGAACUAUGACCUCUGGAACUAUGUCCUCUGGAACUACGCCCCUGGAACUAUGUCCGGUGAAUCAUGAUAACUCGAUGGAUAUCAUAGCCCUUGUGAUGGCGAUGCUUCAUUCAUAUUUCUUCCCUAUCAAAUUUCGAUGGUAGGAUAGAGGCCUACCAUGGUGGUGACGAGUGACAGAGAAUUAGGGUUUGAUUAUGGAGAGGGAGCCUGAGAAACGACUACCACAUCUAAGGCAGCGGGAACGCAAAUUACCCAAUCCUGACAUGGGGAGGUAGUGACAAUAAAUAACAAUAACGAGCUCAUUGAGUCUGGUAAUUAGAAUGAGUAAAAUCUAAAUCCCUUAACGAGGAUCCAGUGGAGGGAAAGUUUGGUGCGAGCAGUCGCAAUACUUCCAGCUCCAAUACCAUAUAUUUAAGUUGUUGCAGUUAAAAAGAUCGUAGUUGGAUAUUGGGUCAUAAAGGACAGUUCACCUACUCGGUGUCCACCUGCCCUUUCGUCCCUUUUGUCGCUGGUGUGCUCCUGGACUUAAUUGGCUGGGUCACGGUUCCAGUGUUGUUACAUUGAAAAAAUUAGAGUUCUCAAAGGAAGCUUAUGCUCUGAAUACAUUAGCAUGGAAUAACGUGAUAGGAGUUUGGUCUUAUUGUGUUAAACUUCGGGACCAGAGUAAUCAUUAAUAGGGACUGUCGGGGGCAUUCAUAUUUCAUUGUGAGAGGUGAAAUUAUUGGAUUUAUGAAAGACGAACCACUGCGAAAUAAUUUGCCAAGGAUGUUUUCAUUAAUUAAGAACAAAAGUUGGGGGCUCAAAGACAAUCAAAUAUUGUCCUAGUCUCAACCAUAAACGAUGCCAACUAGGGAUCGACGGAUGUUUCUCUAAGGACUCCACCAUAACCUUCUAAGAAAUCAUAGUGUUUGGGUUCCGGGGGGAGUAGGGUCAUAG